GCCAGGCAUGGUGGCGCAUGCCUGUAAUCCCAGCUACUCAGGAGGCUGAGGCAGGAGAAUCGCUUGAACCCGGGAGGCGGAGGUUGCAGUGAGCCGAGAUCGCGCCACUGCACUCUAGCUUGGGUGAUAGAGUUAGACUCUGUCUUUA
rnacentral:SRP_RNA from 1 species